AAACAAGGAUAGAAGCAGCGUCGUGCGCAAUGAAACUGACAGAGACGACGAGUACCGUGGACACUGUAAAAUCGACAAGAACGGAGGUACGGCCAAUGCUGUGAAGAGAACAAGGACGAAGGUACCGGCGAGACGAGGUUCGGCGAUACCGCGUCGACGUACACGAUGAUGAAGACGGAGACGCAGCUACCGACGAGCACUGUGCAACCGACGAGGACGAGGCUAAAGCGGGACGGGAGGAAGCUAGGUGGCUGGGUGGAGGGAGGUUAGGGGACGAGGUGCUCGCGUCUGGCUAGCUCGCGAGACACCACUCCCCACUCGGUCUGGUCGUUCUCUCCUCUAGCUUCCUCUCUUUCUCUCUCUCUCCUCUUUCAGUGUUCGUUCGAACGCGGCCCGGUAUGGUUCUGUCGUCCCGUGGUGUCGAAGGGUCCGCUUCAUCAUGGGAGCUCACUGCCACGGUGGUGUCGGCAGGUCACCUCGGUAGCCGGUUCCCAACGCCGAUGUAGCUUCUUCAGGGGGACCCGCGCGGUUUUUGCUAGUCUCCCGGUAAAAGGGGUGUGCGCGACGAGGAUUAUUGGGGUGGGUGUGCGUGUGGAGUGAGGGAAGACGGGACGGUGAUAAGGUAGACAGAAGACUCUCUAGAAUCGUCUGAUGAUGAGCAGACGAUACAGAAGAUCUUGAAUGGAAGACGGGAAUCAGUAAAUAGAGACUGAGAGUGCCAGUUUCUUCGAGUUGCUCGAAGCCUAGGAGACCGGUGUGUACGUUGUUAUUUGCGGCCAAACUCCGAAACAUCGUAAGCUUUUUCUUCAGCAAAGACGGGCAUGUUUAUGUUACGCGCUCGAGAGAUCCAAUUCGCCAGCGUUUUCGUGUACGUGGUUAAAUCUAAGAUCGUUGCAUCGUGUUAACGCGACGAGGGAAACAAGUCGAGCAAAGGGAUAGCGCCAGAGAAGGAUAAAUAGUGGAUAUUGAAAUCUACUUGUUUGUUCACUCAAGGCUCGCUCGAAGGCAGAGAUUUGCUUUGUCCUUUUGCAUCUCUUUCCUCGUGAAAGAAGAAGCAAGGCUCUCUUAGAAUUCGUGUUUGUCGAGGUCGGGUGGGAGUCGUGAUUCCAAACAACACCACACAAGAUCAUAUUGCUCACCGCCCUGAAUGAAGAACUGGACCCCUGACAGAAGUGCUUCAUUUUCGAAGAGACGACGGCCAGAUUGCUAGGAGACGCAAGAGCGCAGAGUUCCAGUCGUCAUUUUCUGGACACGUCUGGACUAAAAUGUCUGGCAACUAUUCGGCACGCUGCGAGCCAGGCCUGGUGGUGCCGAUGUGGCAUCCGGAGGACAAUCUGCACCUGAUCGACAUUGUCUUCCGAGGUGUGGUGUAUUUCUUCCUGUUGCUGUAUCUAUUCAUCGGCGUGUCGAUCAUCAGCGAUCGCUUCAUGGCAGCCAUUGAGGUGAUUACGUCCAAGGAGAAGGAGCUGGUGGUGCGUCGUCAAGGCAGGGAGCCGCAGAUCGUCGUGGUGCGGGUGUGGAACGAGACGGUGGCCAACCUGACCCUGAUGGCGCUCGGCAGCAGCGCGCCCGAGAUCUUGCUAUCUAUCAUCGAGAUCUGGGCGAAGAACUUUCAGGCCGGUGAACUCGGCCCGGGCACGAUCGUCGGCUCGGCCGCUUACAAUCUUUUCGUCAUCAUCUCUUUGUGCGUCUUCGUGAUCCCUAAUGGCGAAACCCGGAAGAUAAAGCACCUGCGCGUCUUCUUCGUUACCGCGACCUGGAGCAUCUUCGCUUACGUGUGGCUCUAUGUUAUCCUGGCGGUCUCCAGUCCGGGUGUGCUGGAGGUCUGGGAGGGUAUACUAACCUUCUCCUUCUUCCCAGCCACGGUCCUGUCGGCUUACAUCGCCGAUCGAAGACUGCUGAUCUACAAGUAUCUGCACAAGGGCUAUCGGAUGAACAAACGAGGUGUGAUCGUGCAGGCCGAGUCCGGGGACUCCGAGGUGGGGGUAGAGUUGGAGAUAAAGCCUCAGCAAGAUGGUCUCCACAGCAUGGUGGACCGUCUGGGCGAGGGUGACUCUCCCGAGGCGAGGGAGUUCGAGCAAACCCGCAGGGAUUACAUCAAUACCUUGAAGGAAUUACGUAAAAAGUAUCCCACUCUGCCCCUGGAGCAGUUGGAGGUCAUGGCCCAUGAGGAGGUGUUGGGCAAAGGUCCCAAGAGCAGAGCUUUCUACAGGGUGCAGGCCACGAGAAAGAUGGUAGGCGCGGGUAACCUCAGUAGAAAGAUCAGCGAAAGGGCGCAGAGCGACCUCAGCGAGGUCAAGGCCGAGUUGCAGAAGCAAGAGGCCGAGAGCAUCGACAUCGACCAUGUCAACGCCAUGAGGGUGUUCUUUGAGCCUGGCCAUUACACUGUAAUGGAGAACGUCGGGACCUUCGAAGUGGGAGUCACCAGGGCUGGCGGUGACCUCAGCAGACCCUGCAGUGUGGAUUAUUGCACGGAGGACGGUUCCGCCGAGGCGGGAUCUGAUUACGUGAGUGCCAAGGGCACCCUGACCUUCGAGCCUGGCGAGACUAAGAAGACCAUCAAGCUUUCGGUUAUCGACGAUGAAUUGUUCGAGGAGGACGAGCACUUUUACGUCAGGCUCAGUAACGUGUCGCAGCCGGCGAUGCUCGUCUCACCGAGCCUAGCGACGGUGAUGAUCCUGGAUGACGAUCACAGCGGCAUCUUCGGCUUCCCGGAAAGGGACGUGGAGUUGGUGGAGAGCGUCGGCCAGCAUCCCCUGCGAGUGGUGCGCUACAGCGGGGCCCGCGGACGCGUCAUCAUCCCUUAUCGCACCGUGGAAGGCACCGCGAAACCCGGCAAGCAGUACGUGCACACCGAGGGCAGUCUGACUUUCGAGGACAAUCAGACAGAGAAAAUCAUCAGUUUGGAGAUCAUCGAGGAGGAUUCCUACGAAAAGGACGCGCUCUUCUACGUCGAAUUAGGCGAGCCGCUGCUGCAAGGAGCGGAGGCAGGAAUUGCGGCGGCGGCGGAGCUGAAGCAGCCGGAGGAGAGAACGGAGGAGGAGAAAAUGGCGUUGCUGGGCAGACCGCGAUUAGGCGAGGUGUCACGGGCUCAGAUCAGGAUCAAGGAGUCGAAGGAGUUCAAGAACACCGUGGACAAGCUCGUACAGCGAGCGAACGCCUCCAUCAUUCUCGGCACAAGCUCUUGGAAGGAACAAUUUACGGAGGCAUUGACCGUUAGCGGGGGUGAUGAGGACGACGCUGAGGGUGGAAGCGGUCAACCGUCCUCACCAUCGGCGAUGGAUUAUCUCAUGCACUCGCUCACCAUCUUCUGGAAGGUUCUCUUUGCCUUCGUCCCACCGACCGAUAUCGCCGGCGGUUACCUGUGCUUCAUCGUCAGCAUCCUGGGGAUCGGCGUCGUCACGGCGAUAAUCGGCGACGUCGCCUCCUACUUCGGCUGCACCCUGGGCAUCAAGGAUUCCGUCACCGCGGUCGUCUUCGUCGCUCUCGGCACUAGCAUCCCCGACACGUUUGCCAGCAAAGUAGCCGCCUGCCAGGACAAGUACGCCGACGCGUGCGUGGGCAAUGUGACCGGGAGUAACGCGGUGAACGUCUUCCUGGGGAUCGGCGUUGCGUGGAGUAUCGCCGCCAUUUACCAUGCCUGCCAUAACCAGACGUUUUUCGUCGAGCCCGGCAACUUGGCCUUCUCCGUUACCCUGUUCUGCACGGAAGCCUGCUUGGUGAUUCUGGUGCUGCUGGUGAGGCGGACCAAGUCGAUCGGCGGCGAAUUGGGUGGGCCUUUUAUACCGAAGGUCAUCACAUCCGUGUUCCUGUUCUCCCUCUGGCUCUUCUACCUCAUCAUGUCCACCCUCGAGGCCUACGGCGUGAUCCAGGGCUUCUAAAUCAGGGUCCGUGCGACGCCACUACGUCGGCCUAUCCACUGCGCGUAUCUUAGCACUGGCGUCCGCCAAGGCGUGUGCUCAACGAAACUUCUACCUGACGAUAUUGUUAGCGAACGAAGGUAUUUAUGACUGCUCUCUCGGAAGAGAAAGAGAAAGUCGCGAGAAUAAAAGAUACGAGGGGUUUAGAGUAAUAGUGGACCAAUUUCGUAAUUAGCGAGAGGUUUACUUUAAAAGUAACGUUGUCGCGUGUGCCGGACCGGGCCGGGACGUAUCCGUAUCGGUGUGUUUUCACCGAGGUGCCGCCGGCGUUUUACUAGUAUUUUCUUGUAUCGGUGCGCUGGUGCCGGCAUUAUCAGCGGCGUAUCGACGGCGGGGAUUUCCUGACACUGCCGGUACCAGUGCGCCACGGUAGAGCCAGUACGUAGAGAGUAUAACGAUACCUUAAAGAUCAUGGACUUGGUCCAAUCCUGCUCUGAACUUUUCGUACACGACUACACGAGGCUCGCCCGAGAUCGGGCGGUCUUCACCUACGAAAGAGUAAGAGUAAAUUACGUACGAAAUAGUCGGUGUGUUCCUUAGAAAAAAAAAAGAAAAAAAAAACAGUUCCGCGAUUAAGAUUACGGAGGUGCGGUUUCUGGUCACAGACCUGAUCUGUGGAGCCAGCCUCGAACGUUACGUGUAAGAUAGUAGAUCGUUGCAUGACGGGAGGCAGGAGGGGCUGUUGUUUUACACCGUGAGUAUCGUCAAUAUUUACGUGCCGGUGAAAUAUACUCAGAUGCAGGAUGUUUGAGCGCUAAAAGGAGGCAUCCGAGGGAAACGGAAGCCGGGGAUCCUUUCGUUGAGACGGCAACAUCAAAGGAGGGAUGGGUACUCAAGUCCAUUCUCGAGCAAGACAGUUUCGCCAGUUGACAGCUUGAGACGCGCGUCAAGAGUUUCGUCGUCCCGGAAAAUCUUUCAUUUUUACAUCUCGCGACACAAGUCGGCGCCGCAAUUUCGACCGCCAGUGUCUCUGUGCGAUUUUGGUUUCCUUGGAAGGACACGUAUAAUAUCGGAUGUUACCGCGUCGGGCAUUACCGCGGAUUCUUGAACAUUGAUCCGCGGGAGCGAACGAUCCGCCGAAAAAGACAGAUCUAAUAUUGGCGACUCAUGUGGUGUAGGACGACCAGUCUACGGUUAAUUAAUUACUAGCUGCCAUAAUCGAACGGCAGGCGGAGAAAACGCACGUUGUAUGUGAGUUUUAUACUGUGUAAGCGAAACAUACAAAAGCAUACUGCUCGCCAGUACACGUACAUACACGUGUAUAUACACGUACUGUUAUGUUAUUGCCUAAUAUCUACGAAAUAGAACGUUAUGGGAAUUAUA